CGUCAUCGUCGUCGUCGUCAUUAAACCCUCAGGGUUCACCUUGUGAUCCUUGGUGUUUCAUUUAUGACUCAGACUAAGGCACGCGGUGAAUGCUAAGGGAAAGACAAUUCCAUCUCUACCGCAUCC
rnacentral:precursor_RNA from 10 species